rnacentral:rRNA from 1 species
GUCUCAGUUCGGAUUGGAGUCUGNAACCCGACUCCAUGAAGCUGGAUUCGCUAGUAAUCGCGCAUCAGCCACGGCGCGGUGAAUACGUUCCCGGGCCUUGUACACACCGCCCGUCAAGCCAUGGAAGCCGGGGGUGCCUGAAGUGCGCUGCCGCAAGGAGCGCCCUAGGGUAAAACCGGUGACUGGGGCUAAGUCGUAACAAGGUAGC